UACAGAGGUCUCAAGCGUUUGUUCGGAUUCAUUGGGCGUAAAGGGUGCGUAGGCGGCGCGGUAAGUCGGGUGUGAAAUCUUGGAGCUUAACUCCGAAACUGCAUUCGAUACUGCCGUGCUUGAGGACUGGAGAGGAGACUGGAAUUUACGGUGUAGCGGUGAAAUGCGUAGAUAUCGAUAAGGAAGACCAGUGGCGGAAGGCGGGUCUCUGGACAGUUCCGUGA
rnacentral:rRNA from 1 species